UAGGGAAUCUUCGGCAAUGGGGGGAACCCUGACCGAGCAACGCCGCGUGAGUGAAGAAGGUUUUCGGAUCGUAAAGCUCUGUUGUUAAGGAAGAACGAGUGUGAGAAUGGAAAGUUCAUGCUGUGACGGUACUUAACCAGAAAGGGACGGCUAACUACGUGCCAGCAGCCGCGGUAAUACGUAGGUCCCGAGCGUUGUCCGGAUUUAUUGGGCGUAAAGCGCGCGCAGGCGGUUAGAAAAGUCUGAAGUGAAAGGCAGUGGCUCAACCAUUGUAGGCUUUGGAAACUGUUUAACUUGGGUGCAGGAGGGGAGAGUGGAAUUCCAUGUGUAGCGGUGAAAUGCGUAGAUAUAUGGAGAAACACCGGUGGCGAAAGCGGCUCUCUGGUCUGUAACUGACGCAGAGGCUCGAAAGCGUGGGGAGCGAACAGG
rnacentral:rRNA from 1 species